AUAGCAUGUCAUGCGGACAUCUCCUGAUCAGUUGCUUGUAUCUUUCCCAGGCAUCAUAGAGGGAUUCACCUUCUUUUUGUCUGAAGGUUUGAAAUUCCACUCUAACUUU